rnacentral:sRNA from 1 species
AAUUCAGUUUCUCUAGCUUCUCAGGCGGUUUUGUUAUAUGUCUUU